rnacentral:rRNA from 1 species
UACAGAGGGUGCGAGCGUUAAUCGGAAUUACUGGGCGUAAAGCGCACGUAGGCGGCUUGGUAUGUCGGGUGUGAAAUCCCCGGGCUCAACCUGGGAACUGCAUCCGAAACUGCCUUGCUCGAGUAUGGGAGAGGGAAGUGGAAUUUCCGGUGUAGCGGUGAAAUGCGUAGAUAUCGGGAAGGAACACCAGUGGCGAAGGCGACUCACGUGCCUGUUCUUGACGCUGAGGCGCGAAAGCUAGGGGAGCAAACAGG